GACUCCCCACGGGGCGCAGCAGUGGGGGAUAUUGCACAAUGGGGGAAACCCUGAUGCAGCGACGCCGCGUGUGGGAAGACGGUCCUCUGGAUUGUAAACCACUGUCCCCAGGGACGAAAAUGACGGUACCUGGGGAGGAAGCUCCGGCUAACUACGUGCCAGCAGCCGCGGUAAUACGUAGGGAGCGAGCGUUGUCCGGAAUUACUGGGUGUAAAGGGAGCGUAGGCGGGGAUGCAAGUUGGGUGUCAAAACUACCGG
rnacentral:rRNA from 1 species